rnacentral:rRNA from 1 species
YCGACGAUUCCUACGGGAGGCAGCAGCAGGGAAUAUUGCGCAAUGAGCGAAAGCUUGACGCAGCGACACCGCGUGUGGGAUGACGGAUCUAGGUUUGUAAACCACUUUCAGGAGGGAAGAAAAUGACGGUACCUCCACAAGAAGCCCCGGCCAACUUCGUGCCAGCAGCCGCGGCAAUACGAAGGGGGCGAGCGUUGUUCGGAAUUACUGGGCGUAAAGGGCGCGUAGGCGGUCUUUUAAGUUAGGCGUGAAAUCCCCGGGCUCAACCUGGGAAUUGCGCUUAAGACUGGAAGACUAGAAAACGGAAGAGGGUAGUGGAAUUCCCAGUGUAGAGGUGAAAUUCGUAGAUAUUGGGAAGAACACCAGUGGCGAAAGCGGCUACCUGGUCCGAUUUUGACGCUGAGGCGCGAAAGCGUGGGGAGCAAACAGGAUUAGAUACCCUGGUAGUCCACGCCGUAAACGAUGUCUGCUAGAUGUCGGGGGGUUGCCCCUCGGUGUCGCCGCUAACGCAUUAAGCAGACCGCCUGGGAAGUACGGUCGCAAGAUUAAAACUCAAAGGAAUUGACGG